UACAGGGGGUGCAAACGUUGCUCGGAAUCAUUGGGCGUAAAGCGCACGUAGGCGGUCUGUUAUGUCGGAUGUGAAAGCCCUUGGCUUAACUGAGGAAGUGCAUCCGAAACUGGCAGGCUAGAGUACUAAAGAGGGUCGCGGAAUUCCCGGUGUAGAGGUGAAAUUCGUAGAUAUGGGAGGAACACCGGUGGCGAAGGCGGCGACCUGGGUAGAUACUGACGCUGAGGUGCGAAAGCGUGGGGAGCGAUCCGG
rnacentral:rRNA from 1 species